GCGUGAGCGAUGAAGGCCUUCGGGUCGUAAAGCUCUGUCCUCAAGGAAGAUAAUGACGGUACUUGAGGAGGAAGCCCCGGCUAACUACGUGCCAGCAGCCGCGGUAAUACGUAGGGGGCUAGCGUUAUCCGGAUUUACUGGGCGUAAAGGGUGCGUAGGCGGUCUUUCAAGUCAGGAGUGAAAGGCUACGGCUCAACCGUAGUAAGCUCUUGAAACUGUAAGACUUGAGUGCAGGAGAGGAGAGUGGAAUUCCUAGUGUAGCGGUGAAAUGCGUAGAUAUUAGGAGGAACACCAGUUGCGAAGGCGGCUCUCUGGACUGUAACUGACGCUGAGGCACGAAAGCGUGGGGAGCAAACAGGAUUAGAUACCCUGGUAGUCCACGCCGUAAACGAUGAGUACUAGCUGUCGGAGGUUACCCCCUUCGGUGGCGCAGCUAACGCAUUAAGUACUCCGCCUGGGAAGUACGCUCGCAAAGAGU
rnacentral:rRNA from 1 species